rnacentral:lncRNA from 1 species
UCAACGUUAUAAAUGAAAGUAUUAUUCAUAGUACAAUAAAUUAAAAUAAAAUCUUCAAUAAAAUCUUACCACUAAAAAAGUUUAACGAAUUAAAUAUUCCUAGCACAACCGACUUAAUGAACGACAUAAUAGUAAUCUCUAUGUAGAAUACCGAACCCGACAUUAAAAUCUUUCACUAUUAACAAAAAAUUAAAAUAUAAAUUAAAACAUUUAAAAGAUAAAAAAGGAAAGCAGAGUAGGAAGCAAAUCAGCAACAUCUUUAUCUUAAUUCCACACGAAAAUCUGGGGUAGAUUCUUCGGAUACGCCAUUAUAAAGCUACCAAACUUAGCACCACCGUCACGUAAUUCCCACUCUUCAAAUAUCUCUCUCUCUUUCUCUGAAACCCUAACAC